rnacentral:rRNA from 1 species
CCUACGGGUGGCAGCAGUGGGGAAUAUUGGACAAUGGGGGCAACCCUGAUCCAGCCAUGCCGCGUGUGUGAAGAAGGCCCUCGGGUUGUAAAGCACUUUCAGUGAGGAAGAACGCCUGGUGGUUAAUACCCAUCAGGAAAGACAUCACUCACAGAAGAAGCACCGGCUAACUCCGUGCCAGCAGCCGCGGUAAUACGGAGGGUGCGAGCGUUAAUCGGAAUUACUGGGCGUAAAGCGCGCGUAGGUGGCUUGAUAAGCCGGUUGUGAAAGCCCCGGGCUCAACCUGGGAACGGCAUCCGGAACUGUCAAGCUAGAGUGCAGGAGAGGAAGGUAGAAUUCCCGGUGUAGCGGUGAAAUGCGUAGAGAUCGGGAGGAAUACCAGUGGCGAAGGCGGCCUUCUGGACUGACACUGACACUGAGGUGCGAAAGCGUGGGUAGCAAACAGGAUUAGAUACCCCGGUAGUC